rnacentral:tRNA from 1 species
AGAUGUCCCUGCGCGCCAGCGUCACCAGCGAACUCGUCCUGGACGGCGUCCGUCUGCCCGCCUCCGCCGAACUCC